GUGGGGAAUAUUGGACAAUGGGGGGAACCCUGAUCCAGCCAUGCCGCGUGUGUGAAGAAGGCCUUUUGGUUGUAAAGCACUUUAAGCGAGGAGGAGGCUACCGAGAUUAAUACUCUUGGAUAGUGGACGUUACUCGCAGAAUAAGCACCGGCUAACUCUGUGCCAGCAGCCGCGGUAAUACAGAGGUUGCAAGCGUUAAUCGGAUUUACUGGGCGUAAAGCGCGCGUAGGUGGCCAAUUAAGUCAAAUGUGAAAUCCCCGAGCUUAACUUGGGAAUUGCAUUCGAUACUGGUUGGCUAGAGUAUGGGAGAGGAUGGUAGAAUUCCAGGUGUAGCGGUGAAAUGCGUAGAGAUCUGGAGGAAUACCGAUGGCGAAGGCAGCCAUCUGGCCUAAUACUGACACUGAGGUGCGAAAGCAUGGGGAGCAAACAGGAUUAGAAACCCGAGUAGUCC
rnacentral:rRNA from 1 species